rnacentral:rRNA from 1 species
UUCCCAAUCCUGACACAGGGAGGUAGUGACAAGAAAUAACAAUACAGGGCGAAUGUCUUGUAAUUGGAAUGAUGGUGACCCAAACCCUCACCAGAGUAGCAAUUGGAGGGCAAGUCUGGUGCCAGCAGCCGCGGUAAUUCCAGCUCCAAUAGCGUAUAUUAAACUUGUUGCAGUUAAAAAGCUCGUAGUUGUAUUUUUGCGUUGACGGUUUGACCAUUUGGUUGGUUAUUUCGUUUUCGCUUUUGGGAAUUUCCCUUUUUACUUUGAGAAAAUUAGAGUGUUUCAAGCAGACUUUUGUCUUGAAUACUUCAGCAUGGAAUAAUAGAGUAGGACUUUGGUUCUAUUUUGUUGGUUAUUGAACCUUAGUAAUGGUUAAUAGGAACGGUUGGGGGCAUUUCCGUAUUU